rfam:Carnobacterium divergens DSM 20623 NODE_8, whole genome shotgun sequence.
AACAGAGUAGGAAAUAAAGCGUUAAGUGCUGAUGGGAUGGGAUGUUGCCCUCAGACGAAAAAUGAUUGAAAAAUCAUUUGCGGUUUUAUUUUUGCAUUCGCUGCA